rnacentral:rRNA from 1 species
UGGGGAAUCUUGGACAAUGGGCGCAAGCCUGAUCCAGCGACGCCGCGUGGGUGAUGAAGGCCUUCGGGUUGUAAAGCCCUUUUCCUGGGGACGAUGAUGACGGUACCCGGGGAAUAAGCACCGGCUAACUCCGUGCCAGCAGCCGCGGUAAGACGGAGGGUGCUAGCGUUGUUCGGAAUUACUGGGCGUAAAGGGCGCGUAGGCGGCUUGGUAAGUCGGGUGUGAAAGCCCGGGGCUCAACCCCGGAACUGCAUCCGAGACUGUCGAGCUUGAGACCGGGAGAGGAGAGUGGAAUACCCAGUGUAGAGGUGAAAUUCGUAGAUAUUGGGUGGAACACCGGUGGCGAAAGCGGCUCUCUGGCCCGGAUCUGACGCUGAGGCGCGAAAGCGUGGGGAGCAAACAGG